rnacentral:rRNA from 1 species
UACGAAGGGGGCGAGCGUUGUUCGGAUUUACUGGGCGUAAAGGGCGCGCAGGCGGUUCUGUUUGUCGAGUGUGAAAGCCCCGGGCUCAACCUGGGAACGGCAUUGGAAACUGGCGAGCUAGAGUGUGGCAGAGGGGGGUGGAAUUCCGCGUGUAGCAGUGAAAUGCGUAGAGAUGCGGAGGAACACCGAUGGCGAAGGCAGCCCCCUGGGCUGACACUGACGCUCAGGCACGAAAGCGUGGGGAGCAAACAGG